GAUGAACGCUGGCGGCGUGCCUAAUACAUGCCAGUCGAGCGAACAGAUAAGGAGCUUGCUCCUUUGACGUUAGCGGCGGACGGGUGAGUAACACGUGGGUAACCUACCUAUAAGACUGGAAUAACUCCGGGAAACCGGGGCUAAUGCCGGAUAACAUUUAGAACCGCAUGGUUCUAAAGUGAAAGAUGGUUUUGCUAUCACUUAUAGAUGGACCCGCGCCGAAUUAGCUAGUUGGUAAGGUAACGGCUUACCAAGGCAACGAUACGUAGCCGACCUGAGAGGGUGAUCGGCCACACUGGAACUGAGACACGGUCCAGACUCCUACGGGAGGCAGCAGUAGGGAAUCUUCCGCAAUGGGCGAAAGCCUGACGGAGCAACGCCGCGUGAGUGAUGAAGGUCUUCGGAUCGUAAAACUCUGUUAUUAGGGAAGAACAAAUGUGUAAGUAACUGUGCACGUCUUGACGGUACCUAAUCAGAAAGCCACGGCUAACUACGUG
rnacentral:rRNA from 1 species